ACGCUCGACACCUACGGGAGGCAGCAGUGGGGAAUAUUGCACAAUGGGGGAAACCCUGAUGCAGCGACGCCGCGUGAGUGAAGAAGUAUUUCGGUAUGUAAAGCUCUAUCAGCAGGGAAGAAAAUGACGGUACCUGACUAAGAACGCCCCGGCUAACUACGUGUCAGCAGCCGCGGUAAUCUGAGCGGGCUGGCAAGGC
rnacentral:rRNA from 1 species